rnacentral:rRNA from 1 species
GAUGAACGCUGGCGGCGUGCCUAAUACAUGCCAGUCGAGCGAACAGACGAGGAGCUUGCUCCUCUGACGUUAGCGGCGGACGGGUGAGUAACACGUGGAUAACCUACCUAUAAGACUGGGAUAAAUUCGGGAAACCGGAGCUAAUACCGGAUAAUAUAUUGAACCGCAUGGUUCAAUAGUGAAAGACGGUUUUGCUGUCACUUAUAGAUGGAUCCGCGCCGCAUUAGCUAGUUGGUAAGGUAACGGCUUACCAAGGCAACGAUGCGUAGCCGACCUGAGAGGGUGAUCGGCCACACUGGAACUGAGACACGGUCCAGACUCCUACGGGAGGCAGCAGUAGGGAAUAUUCCGCAAUGGGCGAAAGCUUGACGGAGCAACGCCGCGUGAGUGAUGAAGGUCUUCGGAUCGUAAAACUCUGUUAUUAGGGAAGAACAAAUGUGUAAGUAACUAUGCACGUCUUGACGGUACCUAAUCAGAAAGCCACGGCUAACUACGUG